GCAGGAGAGGAGCAGCAAAAAGCUGGUGUGUGGUGGAAUGAGGCCUGAAUUUUGAGUCCAGCAGGAAGACAGACAGAUCCCAGGGAACUUUGGGAAGAUGGAAACUGGUCUGUAACAGCUAGGAGAACAGAAUCAACGGUGGAGCAGUGCUCUCAAACUUGCCCAGCCAAGAUUUCUGGUACUUCAAGUUACUGCUUCUCUCUCACCUUGACGGUCCCCCUACUUCACUCUCUACUAUGUCUGUGAUUCUUUUUCUCAACAUUCCACUCUUCUGAGUGAAAAGCAGCUGUGGAUGAGAAGUGAGGGUGAAUGGUGCUCAGGGAAUCACAUCACAUGUUUGCCCCCCUCUCCCUAUGUGGUGGCUAACAUAUGCCC
rnacentral:lncRNA from 1 species